GUAACGGUGUCUUUAGACACUACCUUCUUUCUUUGAAAUAUUAUUU
rfam:Picea glauca, whole genome shotgun sequence.